GAUGUCGCUUAGUGAAGCUCUAACCGCGGCCACUCUACACGCCGCCCACUCCCUGCGAAAAGCCCACGCCCACGGGUCCAUAGAACCGGGAAAAUACGCCGAUCUGGUCAUCGUCGAUGCUCCUAGAUGGGAACAUCUUGUGUACCAGCUGGGAGGCGCUGACCACGUCAUCUCCCAUGUUGUCAAGGCUGGAGUUGUCGUCCACGAGAGAAAAUGAAAUAAAGAAUAUUUCCCUUU
rnacentral:lncRNA from 1 species